CGGGGUGAGUAACGCGUGGGUAACCUGCCCUGUACACACAGAUAACAUACCGAAAGGUAUGCUAAUACGGGAUAAUAUAUUUGAGAGGCAUCUCUUGAAUAUCAAAGGUGAGCCAGUACAGGAUGGACCCGCGUCUGAUUAGCUAGUUGGUAAGGUAACGGCUUACCAAGGCGACGAUCAGUAGCCGACCUGAGAGGGUGAUCGGCCACAUUGGAACUGAGACACGGUCCAA
rnacentral:rRNA from 1 species